CCUACGGGUGGCAGCAGUGAGGGAUAUUGGUCAAUGGGGGAAACCCUGAACCAGCAACGCCGCGUGAGGGAAGACGGUUUUCGGAUUGUAAACCUCUGUCCUCUGUGAAGAUAAUGACGGUACCUGAGUAAGAAGCCCCGGCUAACUACGUGCCAGCAGCCGCGGUAAUACGUAGGGGGCAAGCGUUAUCCGGAAUUACUGGGUGUAAAGGGAGCGUAGACGGUAAUGCAAGUCUGGAGUGAAAGGCGGGGGCCCAACCCCCGGACUGCUCUGGAAACUGUGUAACUGGAGUGCAGGAGAGGCAGGCGGAAUUCCUAGUGUAGCGGUGAAAUGCGUAGAUAUUAGGAGGAACACCAGUGGCGAAGGCGGCCUGCUGGACUGUAACUGACGUUGAGGCUCGAAAGCGUGGGGAGCAAACAGGAUUAGAUACCCCAGUAGUC
rnacentral:rRNA from 1 species